UUGUAAUUGGAAUGAUAGAAAUUUAAACCCCUUUUUAAAGUAUCAAUUGGAGGGCAAGUCUGGUGCCAGCAGCCGCGGUAAUUCCAGCUCCAAUAGCGUAUAUUAAAAUUGUUGCAGUUAAAAAGCUCGUAGUUGAAGUUCUGCUGAAAGUAACCGGUCUGCUUUUAAUAAAAGUGGUAUCUUGGUAUGUAUUUAGCAAUGAUGUCCUUUGAAGUGUUUUUUACUUUAUUGUAAUAAAGCAUAUUCAGGACUUUUACUUUGAGAAAAUUAGAGUGUUUCUAGCAGGCUGACGCUUUGAAUACUGCAGCAUGGAAUAAUAAGAUAGGAUUUUAGUUCUACAUUAUUGGUUUUAAGAGCUAAAUUAAUGAUUGAUAGGGACAGUUGGGGGCAUUUGUAUUUAACUGUCAGAGGUGAAAUUCUUAGAUUUGUUAAAGACAAACUACUGCGAAAGCAUUUGCCAAAGAUGUUUUCAUUAAUCAAGAACGAAAGUUAGGGGAUCGAAGACGAUCAGAUACCGUCGUAGUCUUAACUAUAAACUAUGCCGA
rnacentral:rRNA from 1 species